rnacentral:misc_RNA from 1 species
GGAAGGAUCAUUACUGAAUUGUCGACACGAGUUGUUGCUGGUCCCUCAAACGGGGGCAUGUGCACGCUCUGUUUACACAUCCACUCACACCUGUGCACCCUCUGUAGUUCUGUGGCCUGGGGGACUCUGUCGCCCUUGCUGUGGUCCUACGUCUUUACACACACACUGUAACAGAGUUUUAUGGAAUGUAUGCCGCGUUUAACGCAAUACAAUACAACUUUCAGCAACGGAUCUCUUGGCUCUCGCAUCGAUGAAGAACGCAGCGAAAUGCGAUAAGUAAUGUGAAUUGCAGAAUUCAGUGAAUCAUCGAAUCUUUGAACGCACCUUGCGCCCUUUGGCUAUUCUGAAGGGCAUGCCUGUUUGAGUAUCAUGAACACCUCAACUCUCAUGGCUUGCCAUGACGAGAUUGGACUUUGGGGGUCUUGCUGGCCUAUGGUCGGCUCCUCUUAAAUCGAUCAGCUUGCCAGUGUUUGGUGGCAUCACAGGUGUGAUAACUAUCUACGCUUGUGGUUUUCCACCAGGUAACCUUCAGUGAUGGAGGUUCGCUGGAGCUCAUAAAUGUCUCUCCUCAGCGAGGACAGCUUUUUGAACGUUUGAUCUCAAAUCAGGUAGGACUACCCGCUGAACUUAAGCAUAUCAAUAAGCGGAGGAANU